rnacentral:rRNA from 1 species
AACGAACGCUGGCGGCAUGCCUAACACAUGCAAGUCGAACGAGACCUUCGGGUCUAGUGGCGCACGGGUGCGUAACGCGUGGGAACCUGCCCUUAGGUUCGGAAUAACUCCCCGAAAGGGGUGCUAAUACCGGAUAAUGUCUUCGGACCAAAGAUUUAUCGCCUUUGGAUGGGCCCGCGUUGGAUUAGCUAGUUGGUAGGGUAAAAGCCACCAAGGCGACGAUCCAUAGCUGGUCUGAGAGGAUGAUCAGCCACACUGGGACUGAGACACAGCCCAGACUACUACGGGAGGCAGCAGUGGGGAAUAUUGGACAAUGGGCGAAAGCAUGAUCCAGCAAUGCCGCGUGAGUGAUGAAGGCCUUAGGGUUGUAAAGCUCUUUUACCCGGGAUGAUAAUGACAGUACCGGGAGAAUAAGCACCGGCUAACUCCGUG